rnacentral:rRNA from 1 species
UAAUGCAUCGGAACGUGUCCAUGUCGUGGGGGAUAGCCCGGCGAAAGCCGGAUUAAUACCGCAUACGCCCGAGAGGGGAAAGUGGGGGACUCGCAAGGGCCUCACGCGAUUGGUUCGGCCGAUGUCCGAUUAGCUAGUUGGCGGGGUAAAGGCCCACCAAGGCGAUGAUCGGUAGCUGGUCUGAGAGGAUGAUCAGCCACACUGGGACUGAGACACGGCCCAG